AGAGUUUGAUCCUGGCUCAGGAUGAACGCUGGCGGCGUGCUUAACACAUGCAAGUCGAACGGAGUAUAUUUAAAAGCUUGCUUUGUUUAUACUUAGUGGCGGACGGGUGAGUAACGCGUGGGUAACCUGCCUUAUACCGGGGGACAACAGUUGGAAACGACUGCUAAUACCGCAUAAGCGCACAGUAUCGCAUGAUACAGUGUGAAAAACUCCGGUGGUAUAAGAUGGACCCGCGUCUGAUUAGCCAGUUGGCGGUGUAACGGACCACCAAAGCGACGAUCAGUAGCCGGCCUGAGAGGGCAAACGGCCACAUUGGGACUGAGACACGGCCCAAACUCCUACGGGAGGCAGCAGUGGGGAAUAUUGCACAAUGGAGGAAACUCUGAUGCAGCGACGCCGCGUGAGUGAAGAAGUAUUUCGGUAUGUAAAGCUCUAUCAGCAGGAAAGAAAUGACGGUACCUGACUAAGAAGCCCGGCUAACUACGUGCC
rnacentral:rRNA from 1 species